UAUAGCUAUACGCUGAAUUCACUUGAAGCGGGGGAACCAAUCUUUUGGGGUGAAUCUCUAUGUUAAAUAGAGUAGGGUCAACUUCUUUCGAUCCGAAUCCGUCAGCUAACCUCGUAAGCGUAGAGAGAAGGAGAU
rnacentral:sRNA from 2 species